rnacentral:rRNA from 1 species
GGUGAGUAACGCGUAGGAAUCUACCCAGUAGCGGGGGAUAAGCCAGAGAAAUUUGGUCUAAUACCGCAUACGCCCUUCGGGGGAAAGCAGGGGAUCUUCGGACCUUGCACUAUUGGAUGAGCCUGCGUGAGAUUAGCUUGUUGGUGAGGUAAUGGCUCACCAAGGCGACGAUCUCUAGCUGGUCUGAGAGGAUGAUCAGCCACACUGGAACUGAGACACGGUCCAGACUCCUACGGGAGGCAGCAGUGGGGAAUAUUGCACAAUGGGCGCAAGCCUGAUGCAGCCAUGCCGCGUGUGUGAAGAAGGCCCUAGGGUUGUAAAGCACUUUCAGCAGUGAGGAAAGGUGCAUAGUUAAUACCUAUGUACUGUGACGUUAACUGCAGAAGAAGCACCGGCUAACUCCGUGCCAGCAGCCGCGGUAAUACGGAGGGUGCGAGCGUUAAUCGGAAUUACUGGGCGUAAAGCGCGCGUAGGUGGAUUGGUCAGUCAGAUGUGAAAGCCCAGGGCUCAACCUUGGAACUGCACCUGAUACUGCCAAUCUAGAAUACGG